rnacentral:rRNA from 1 species
CCUACGGGAGGCAGCAGUAGGGAAUCUUCGGCAAUGGGGGCAACCCUGACCGAGCAACGCCGCGUGAGUGAAGAAGGUUUUCGGAUCGUAAAACUCUGUUGGUAGAGAAGAACGUUGGUGAGAGUGGAAAGCUCAUCAAGUGACGUUAACUACCCAGAAAGGGACGGCUAACUACGUGCCAGCAGCCGCGGUAAUACGUAGGUCCCGAGCGUUGUCCGGAUUUAUUGGGCGUAAAGCGAGCGCCUGUGGUUUAUGAGGUUUGGGGUAAAAGGCAGUUGCGCAACCAUUGUGUGCAUUGGAAACUGGGAGACUUGAGUGCAGGAGAGGAGAGUGAAUUUCCAUGUGUAGCGGUGAAAUGCGUAGAUAUAUGGAGGAACGCCGGAGGCGAGAGCGGCUCUCUGGCCUGUAACUGACACUGAGGCUCGAAAGCGUGGGGAGAAAACAGGAUUAGAUACCCGUGUAGUC